UGCUUUUGUCGGAACGAAACGGUCUGCCCUAAUACGAUGGGCUAAUGACGGUACCGAUAAGAAUAAGCACCGGCUAACUACGUGCCAGCAGCCGCGGUAA
rnacentral:rRNA from 1 species